rnacentral:tRNA from 1 species
GGCAGAUAGUGCAGUGGUCAGAACAUUUGACUUAUAAUUUAAAGAUUCAGAAUUCAAAUGCUUGCUGCUG